GAUGAAGAACGCAGCGAAAUGCGAUACGUAAUGUGAAUUGCAGAAUUCAGUGAAUCAUCGAAUCUUUGAACGCAUAUUGCGCUCUCUGGUAUUCCGGAGAGCAUGCUUGUUUGAGUUUCAGUAAACACCUCAACUCCCCUUUCUUUUUUUGAAAUGGUAGCUGGACUUGAGUGAUCCCAACGCUUUUCUCACCGAAAAGUGGCGGGUUACUUGAAAUGCAGGUGCAGCUGGACUUUUCUCUGAGCUAAAAGCAUAUCUAUUUAGUCUGCCUAAAAAACAGAUUAUUACCUUUGCUGCAGCUAACAUAAAGGAGAUUAGUUCUUGUGCUGACUGAUGCAGGAUUCACAGAGACAGCUUCGGCUGGCCUUUGUAAACUCGAUCUCAAAUCAAGUAAGACUACCCGCUGAACUUAAGCAUAUCAAUAAGCGGAGGA
rnacentral:misc_RNA from 1 species